CCCGGAUAAAAUUGGAAGGAGACAGAGAAGAUUAGCAAGGCCCUUGUGCAAAGAUGACGCACAAACCGAGAAGUGUACCAAUCGCCA
rnacentral:snRNA from 1 species